GCCAGGGGAUGUUUCCGUCGGACAUGUGCGAGAGUUGUGGCCGUUGUUUCCACACUGCGAGCAGCUGCGUGACAUCUUUCUUGCGACAGAAGCUGUUCAGAUGAUAGAUCGGGAGAGAGGGAGAGAAGAGAGAGGAACACAAAGGUAAAGAAGAGACAGAAGCUGUUCAGAUGAUUCUACUUUUUAUGUCUGUAUUAAGCUAACCAUUAAAACCUUGACCGUUCAGUGGUUUUAAUCUCAAAAAGAUUCUGUCUGUCC
rnacentral:lncRNA from 1 species